AUUUUUGGGAAAAUACACGCGUCCGCCACACGCGGAUGAGGAAAGUCUGGACAUCCCCUCGAAAUGAGAAAAGCUAACGGCUUUGGUCCUGUCAUAUAUCGAAACGGCAGGAUACGGACAGUGCCACAGAGACAAUACAAUCCCUCGGGACAAAGGUGAAAAGUCCACCUCUGGUGGAUCGAGCAUUCGCUCGGCGGUAAACCCUCUCUGAUGCAAAAGGAAUGGUACUCUUGGGAGUAUAUGAUCGAGGCAAUUUCCAUAGAGUAUACCUUGCUUGAGAAUACUGGUGACAGUAUUCCUAGAUAGAUGUGUAUUGAGAUACAGAAUCCGGCUUAUUACCCAAAAAUUUUC
rnacentral:RNase_P_RNA from 1 species